rnacentral:rRNA from 1 species
AGACCCGAAACCCGGUGAUCUAGCCAUGGGCAGGUUGAAGGUUGGGUAACACUAACUGGAGGACCGAACCGACUAAUGUUGAAAAAUUAGCGGAUGACCUGUGGCUGGGGGUGAAAGGCCAAUCAAACCGGGAGAUAGCUGGUUCUCCCCGAAAGCUAUUUAGGUAGCGCCUCGUGAACUCAUCUCCGGGGGUAGAGCACUGUUUCGGCUAGGGGGCCAUCCCGGCUUACCAACCCGAUGCAAACUGCGAAUACCGGAGAAUGUUAUCACGGGAGACACACGGCGGGUGCUAACGUCCGUCGUGAAGAGGGAAACAACCCAGACCGCCAGCUAAGGUCCCAAAGUCAUGGUUAAGUGGGAAACGAUGUGGGAAGGCCCAGACAGCCAGGAUGUUGGCUUAGAAGCAGCCAUCAUUUAAAGAAAGCGUAAUAGCUCACUGGUCGAGUCGGCCUGCGCGGAAGAUGUAACGGGGCUAAACCAUGCACCGAAGCUGCGGCAGCGACACUGUGUGUUGUUGGGUAGGGGAGCGUUCUGUAAGCCUGCGAAGGUGGCCUGUGAGGGUUGCUGGAGGUAUCAGAAGUGCGAAUGCUGACAUAAGUAACGAUAAAGCGGGUGAAAAGCCCGCUCGCCGGAAGACCAAGGGUUCCUGUCCAACGUUAAUCGGGGCAGGGUGAGUCGACCCCUAAGGCGAGGCCGAAAGGCGUAGUCGAUGGGAAACGGGUUAAUAUUCCCGUACUUGGUGUUACUGCGAAGGGGGGACGGAGAAGGCUAUGUUGGCCGGGCGACGGUUGUCCCGGUUUAAGCGUGUAGGCUGGUUUUCCAGGCAAAUCCGGAAAAUCAAGGCUGAGGCGUGACGACGAGGCACUACGGUGCUGAAGCAACAAAUGCCCUGCUUCCAGGAAAAGCCUCUAAGCAUCAGGUAACAUCAAAUCGUACCCCAAACCGACACAGGUGGUCAGGUAGAGAAUACCAAGGCGCUUGAGAGAACUCGGGUGAAGGAACUAGGCAAAAUGGUGCCGUAACUUCGGGAGAAGGCACGCUGACAUGUAGGUGAAGUGAUUUACUCAUGGAGCUGAAGUCAGUCGAAGAUACCAGCUGGCUGCAACUGUUUAUUAAAAACACAGCACUGUGCAAACACGAAAGUGGACGUAUACGGUGUGACGCCUGCCCGGUGCCGGAAGGUUAAUUGAUGGGGUCAGCGCAAGCGAAGCUCCUGAUCGAAGCCCCGGUAAACGGCGGCCGUAACUAUAACGGUCCUAAGGUAGCGAAAUUCCUUGUCGGGUAAGUUCCGACCUGCACGAAUGGCGUAAUGAUGGCCAGGCUGUCUCCACCCGAGACUCAGUGAAAUUGAACUCGCUGUGAAGAUGCAGUGUACCCGCGGCAAGACGGAAAGACCCCGUGAACCUUUACUAUAGCUUGACACUGAACAUUGAGCCUUGAUGUGUAGGAUAGGUGGGAGGCUUUGAAGUGUGGACGCCAGUCUGCAUGGAGCCGGCCUUGAAAUACCACCCUUUAAUGUUUGAUGUUCUAACGUGGACCCGUAAUCCGGGUUGCGGACAGUGUCUGGUGGGUAGUUUGACUGGGGCGGUCUCCUCCUAAAGAGUAACGGAGGAGCACGAAGGUUGGCUAAUCCUGGUCGGACAUCAGGAGGUUAGUGCAAUGGCAUAAGCCAGCUUGACUGCGAGCGUGACGGCGCGAGCAGGUGCGAAAGCAGGUCAUAGUGAUCCGGUGGUUCUGAAUGGAAGGGCCAUCGCUCAACGGAUAAAAGGUACUCCGGGGAUAACAGGCUGAUACCGCCCAAGAGUUCAUAUCGACGGCGGUGUUUGGCACCUCGAUGUCGGCUCAUCACAUCCUGGGGCUGAAGUAGGUCCCAAGGGUAUGGCUGUUCGCCAUUUAAAGUGGUACGCGAGCUGGGUUUAGAACGUCGUGAGACAGUUCGGUCCCUAUCUGCCGUGGGCGCUGGAGAACUGAGGGGGGCUGCUCCUAGUACGAGAGGACCGGAGUGGACGCAUCACUGGUGUUCGGGUUGUCAUGCCAAUGGCACUGCCCGGUAGCUAAAUGCGGAAGAGAUAAGUGCUGAAAGCAUCUAAGCACGAAACUUGCCCCGAG